rnacentral:rRNA from 1 species
UGAGGAAUAUUGGUCAAUGGGCGCAAGCCUGAACCAGCCAUCCCGCGUGCAGGAAGACGGCCCUAUGGGUUGUAAACUGCUUUUCCAGGGAGAGAAACUUGCGUACGCGUUGCGCAAUUGACGGUACCCUGGGAAUAAGCAUCGGCUAACUCCGUGCCAGCAGCCGCGGUAAUACGGAGGAUGCGAGCGUUAUCCGGAUUCAUUGGGUUUAAAGGGUGCGUAGGCGGACUAUUAAGUCAGUGGUGAAAUCCUGCAGCUUAACUGCAGAACUGCCAUUGAUACUGAUAGCCUUGAGUUUGGUUAAGGUAGGCGGUAACGUGUAAUGUAGCGGUGAAAUGCUUAGAUAUUACACAGAACACCAAUUGCGUAGGCAGCUUACUGAGCCGACACUGACGCUGA